UACGUAGGUGGCAAGCGUUAUCCGGAAUUAUUGGGUGUAAAGAGCGCGCAGGUGGUUGAUUAAGUCUGAUGUGAAAGCCCACGGCUUAACCGUGGAGGGUCAUUGGAAACUGGUCGACUUGAGUGCAGAAGAGGGAAGUGGAAUUCCAUGUGUAGCGGUGAAAUGCGUAGAGAUAUGGAGGAACACCAGUGGCGAAGGCGGCUUCCUGGUCUGUAACUGACGCUGAGGCACGAAAGCGUGGGGAGCAAACAGGAUUAGAUA
rnacentral:rRNA from 1 species